AUGGGUUUUGUUAAACUGAAUGUGGAUGCAUCUUUUGAUCGUGAUCUGCUAAGGGGCACAGCUGGUGCAGUACUCAGAGACGACAAAGGAAAAUUUAUUGUUGGCGGAAGCUGGAAGAUUGAAUGGUGUGCUGAUGCUCUGACAGCAAAAGCUCUAGCUUUGAGAUUCGGAUUAUCUUUUGCACAAAAGGCGGGAUGCAAUCGUCUUGUUAUUAACUCUGAUAAUACGGAAGUGAUCGAGACAAUGAAUAAUGGAGGACGGUCGGCGGGAGCGGCGACGGCAGUGUUUGAUGAUUGCUAUUUUUUGGCUUGUGACUUUCUUCUCACUAAUUUCGAACAUUGUAAUAGGGAGGUGAACAUGGUUGCUCAUGAAAUUGCUAGGCUAGCAAAAUUUUCUGCACCAAAUUCUUGGUUUGAGGAGCCGGUGGACGAUAUUGUAGAACUUUUAAUAGACGAUAUUGUAGCACUUUUAAUAGACGAUGUAACCGUUAGCACCAAAAUUUUCUUUUUGUCAAAAAAAGGGGGUCUUAGCAUCAUCUAA
rnacentral:rRNA from 1 species